CAGUCGAGCGGUAGAGAGGUGCUUGCACCUCUUGAGAGCGGCGGACGGGUGAGUAAAGCCUAGGAAUCUGCCUGGUAGUGGGGGAUAACGCUCGGAAACGGACGCUAAUACCGCAUACGUCCUACGGGAGAAAGCAGGGGACCUUCGGGCCUUGCGCUAUCAGAUGAGCCUAGGUCGGAUUAGCUAGUUGGUGAGGUAAUGGCUCACCAAGGCGACGAUCCGUAACUGGUCUGAGAGGAUGAUCAGUCACACUGGAACUGAGACACGGUCCAGACUCCUACGGGAGGCAGCAGUGGGGAAUAUUGGACAAUGGGCGAAAGCCUGAUCCAGCCAUGCCGCGUGUGUGAAGAAGGUCUUCGGAUUGUAAAGCACUUUAAGUUGGGAGGAAGGGCAUUAACCUAAUACGUUAGUGUUUUGACGUUACCGACAGAAUAAGCACCGGCUAACUCUGUGCCAGCAGCCGCGGUAAUACAGAGGGUGCAAGCGUUAAUCGGAAUUACUGGGCGUAAAGCGCGCGUAGGUGGUUCGUUAAGUUGGAUGUGAAAUCCCCGGGCUCAACCUGGGAACUGCAUUCAAAACUGUCGAGCUAGAGUAUGGUAGAGGGUGGUGGAAUUUCCUGUGUAGCGGUGAAAU
rnacentral:rRNA from 1 species